rnacentral:rRNA from 1 species
UACAGAGACUGCAAGCGUUAUUCGGAUUCACUGGGCGUAAAGGGUGCGCAGGCGGCCGUGUGUGUGAGGCGUGAAAGCCCGGGACUCAACCCCGGAAUUGCACCUCAAACUACAUGGCUAGAGCAUUGGAGAGGGAAGCGGAAUUCACGGUGUAGCAGUGAAAUGCGUAGAUAUCGUGAGGAACACCAGAGGCGAAGGCGGCUUCCUGGACCAAUACUGACACUGAGGCGCGAAAGCUAGGGGAGCAAACGGG